GGUAGCAUGGCCGAGCGGUUUCAGGCACUGGAUUUUGGCUCCAGUCUCCCUGGUGGCGUGGGUUCAAAUCCCACUGCUACCA